AGAAUUAAUUAUAUUAGAAUUUGGCUAGAUUGGUUUAAGAUUUCAUUAGAUUUUUUUCAGAAUUGGAUUAGUAUUACAUUAGGAUUUGGAUAUGGUUGGUUUAGGAUUUGAUUAGAAUUUGAUUAGGAUUGAUUUAGGAUUUGAUUAGGAUUUAUUUAAGAUUUGAUUAGGAUUGAUUUAGGAUUUGAUUAGGAUUUAUUUAAGAUUUGAUUAGGAUUGAUUUAGGAUUUGAUUAGGAUUUAUUUAAGAUUUGAUUAGGAUUUGUUUAGAAUUAUAUCAAUAUUUUAUUAAGAUUUUUUUAGGAUUACAUUAAAAUUUAAUUGGAAUUCAUUUAAGUGUUCUAUUUUUAAUAUUUUAAAAAUAUUUCUUUAAUAUUUCUUUAGUAUUUUUUAUUA
rnacentral:lncRNA from 1 species